CACUUGCUGCAGGUGAACGGCCUCUCCCCGGUGUGAACUUGCUGAUGUGUCAGCAGCGUGGACGACUGAGUGAAUCCCUUCCCACAUUCAGAGCAGGUGAACGGCCGCUCCCCAGUGUGAAUGCGUCGAUGAGUUUCCAGCUUAGACUGAGAAAACCUACGUCUCUGGCAAAAAAGCACAGCUUCUCCACAUCAGAAGGAAAUCGCUAACCCAUGACUCCAAACUUCGAAUGAUUUGGGAUCUUGCUUGGACAAGAUGUGGAUGGUCAUCGUGCUCCUGGACAGUGUCCAGGCUGAAGUUCUGUUGCUACUGUAUGAUCCUCCCCCAGAUUGUCCUUUCUGAGCUCCAGCCAGGUGAUGUUAAACACUCAGUUUUGGAUUCUCCCACAAAUGGAAACAUUCUCUCCACAUCUACAAGGUCCCACAUGGCAGACUGGGAAGAAAAAUAAAACCUCAUGGGACCCCAG